rnacentral:miRNA from 1 species
UGAUUGACACGUCUAUGAGUGGA